CCAAGACAAAGGCAAAUCGCCAUUAUGCACGUGGGGAUACUAAAACAAGCAUUACUGUUAAAAUACACCAUGUAAGACACAUUACAUUAAAACUAUACAUUUAACAUAUCCCCAGAUAGCUCAGGUCUGAGCGCACAUUAUUAAGCGAAUGGCGCUCAGACCACACGAAUACAGUUUAAUCGCCAUGGAGCCAAAAGUCUUUAAUUCCACGAACAGGCUAUCUGGGUACUUGCACACCGAAUACAAUCGCAGCACUAAAAGUCCCGAAAGCUCCGUUGUUCGGUUCCCAACGGGUUUGCAGACUUCCAGCCUCAGCAGGGCUUGUAAGACAAAAUUGUCUGCUUUUGGUGUCCUGCUGCUGGGUAGAACAAGCGCUAGCUACCCGGGGAGCCUCAAUAACACCGCCAUCGUGUGGCGGCUAGGUGUAACCGCGACCACCCAGUAAUUGUCAAUUAAGCUGCUGUUAACCGCAGCUUCAGGGAGGUUAAUUGCCGGCACACUCCAGCUCCCAGGUGGUUUAUUCAUUCGUGCGGUUGUUCGGUAGAUUGAAUCUACUGAACAACCGGCAGAAAAGCACGAAUACAGCUUUUCUGCUGGCGAAACAAAGUCUUUUAACGUGAGGCCAUAGUCCAAAGGCAGCAGGCGAGCAACCAGGCUUCUCCAAUGCAAUGUGGCGAGAUUGGUCUCGUCACAGUGUCCGUUUUUAGUUCCACAGAAUCUGCACCGAACAACGCUGGUCUUUCGCAUGGUUUAAAAUGGCCGCCGCCUCGUGGUCGGCAUACGAACGACGACCACCCUGCAUUCGGUUAUAAUUAAGAGGUGUCUGCGGUUAACCACAACGUUCUAAUUGGGAUCAAGAGGUUAACUAGCAGCACACUUCUCUUCUGGGUGGCCGUCCGUUCGGUAAGUUCAUUCGGUAAAAAGGCGAAUGGGGGCAUACGGACAGGUAAUUCCACGAAAGGAAGGCAAACUAGACGAACCAGCAAUAUUAGUCUUACAGAUGAAUCUGUCACAGGCAAAUUCCCCUAGCCGAAGACGCCAUUCCAAAGUCGGCGUUUGUCACCCCGUUUGGCCUAUACCAGUUUAAGGUCAUGCCAUUCGGAAUGAAAAACGCUCCAGCUACCUUCCAGGGGAUGGUAGAUAGGUUAUUAGAUGGGUUUUAGGAGUACGCUUGCGCCUAUUUAGAUGAUAUAGUGAUAUUCAGCUACACCUGGCCCGAACACUUGACCCAUGUAGGGGCAGUAUUAGACCGCAUUAGGGAGGCAGGGUUGACUCAAACCCAGUAGUUUGCCAAAUGUGAGAAACAGAACAAAAACAAAACAAAAAAUCCAGAAAAACGCAUGUCCAAAAAGUUAUAACUUGAUUUGUAUGUCGAGUGAAAAAUAUUUGAUCCCCUGUCAGCAAGAUUUCUGGAUCUCAGGUGUCUUUUAUACAGGUAACGAGCUGAGAUUAGGAGCACUCCCUUAAAGGUACAGUAGUUCUCCUAAUCUCAGCUUGUUACCUGUAUAAAAGACACCUGUCCACAGAAGCAAUCAGAUUCCAAACUCUUCACCAUGGAAAAGACCAAAGAGCUGUCCAAGGAUGUCUGCAACAAGAUUGUGGCGCUACACAAGGCUGGAAUGGGCUACAAGACCAUCGUCAAGCAGCUUGGUGAGAAGUAAGAAGGUGACAACAGUUGGUGUGAUUAUUCACAAAUGGAAGAAACACAAUAACUGUCAGUCUCCCUUUGUCUGGUGCAAGAUCUCACCUCGUGGAGUUUCAAUGAUCAGGAGAACGGGGAGGAAUCAGCUCAGAACUACACGGGAGGAUCUUGUUAAUGAUGUCAAGGCCGCUGCGACGAUAGUCACCAAGAAAACAAUUGGUAACACUAUGCCGUGAAGGACUGAAAUCCUGCAGCGCACAUAAGGUCCCUCUGCUCAAAAAAAAAAAAAACAUGUACAGGCCCGUCUGAAGUUUACCAAUGAACAUCUGAAUGAUUCAGAGGAGAACUGGUUGAAAGUGUUGUGGUCAGAUAAGACCAAAAUCAAGCUCUUUGGCAUUAACUCAACUCGCCAUGUUUCGAGGAGGAGGAAAGCUGCCUAUGACCCCCAACACCACCAUCAAACAUGGAGGUGGAAACAUUAUGCUUUGGGGUGUUUUUCUGCUAAGGGGACAGGACAACUGCACCACAUCAAAGGGAUGAUGGACGGGGCCAUGUACCGUCAAAUCUUGGGUGAGAACUUCCUUCCCCUCAGCCAGGGCAUUGAAAAUGGGUCAUGACAAUGACAAUGACCCAAACACACAGCCAAGGCAACAAAGGUGUGGCUCAAGAAGAAGCACAUUAAGGUCAUGGAGUGGUCUAGCCAGUCUGCAGACCACAAUCCCAUAGAAAAGCUGUGGAGGGAGCUGAAGGUUCGAGUUGCAAAACAUCAUCCUCGAAACCAUAGUGACUUGGAGAUGAUCUGCAAAGAGGAGUGGGACAAAAUCCUUCCUGAGAUGUGUGCAAACCUGGAGGCCAACUAAAGAAACGUCUGACCUCUAUGAUUGCCAACAAGGGUUGUGCCACCAAGUUGAAGGGGUCAAAUACUUAUUUUACUCAUUGACAUGCACAUCAAUUUAUAGCUUUUUUUUACAUCCACUUUUCUGGAUUUUAUUUCAUUAUUCUGUCUCUCACAGUUAAAAUACACCUACUAUUAAAAUUAUAGACUGCUCAUUUCUUUGACAAUGGGCAACGUUAAAAGUCAGCAGGGGUUCAAAUACUUGUUUCCCUCACUGUAUUAAAAAGCCUGCAGGGGCAGGAUAUAGAUACCAGAACAACUGUAUUAAGCUAUAGUUGUUCUGGUUACUAUAGUGUUCCUUUAAGAUAGAGGUGGGUCGUGGUCGAUAGAGGAACUGAGCUCCGCAAAAGGCCUGGCAAAGAAGCGAAUAGAGUAUCACUCAUAUAAACUUUUAGAGUCAGAAACGCCAGCACCCCACAAGAUGACAUAAUUAGGUGUAAAAAUAAAAAGCAAUGUCGCCCAGAAGCUUCCCAUCUGCAGGAUACAUGGCUCUUUUGAGAUACCAACGCUGCAGCAGCGACCAAAGAUGGUGCCGGAGGCCUAUCGGGAAGACGAGGAGCCUCUUGUCUCUGCUCGAUCCGAAGGUGCAUUGGAGUCGGAUGAUGACUUCUCACCAUCGAUAAAAGGGGAUACAAAGAGACUACUCAUUGACAUAUGGAAGGUCUGUAAAGAAUAUCUCCAGGAGGUCCGGACUGAGAUAGUGGUCCACCAAAAGGUGAGAGCGAUAAAAGAGAGAUAAAUUUCCAGAGACAAUAGUCUCCAGCCAGGCAAUGACGACAAUGGAGAUGCAGCAUGGGCGUCACAAUCUACGCCUUAGAGGAAUCCCGGAGACAGUUGGAAAUAAGGAACUCUUGCAGUUCAUCCACGGCCUCUUAGGUACUAUAGGCAUUAAAGGUUGCUCCAACUCCCCUCAGAUCACUUCAACAUUAUGAGUGUGCAAAUCAGCGGCAGCACCCAGUAACACUAUCAUUGUAAUGCAAGACGCGGCAGUGCGAGACGCAAUCAUGACCUGCUUGAGACUACUGGGGACAGUACAUUAUUAAGGCCACACAGUGGCUGGCUAUGGUGAUAUCCCGUUCUUGGUUCUGGCAGAAAGGAGGUAAUUGAUACCUGUUGUCAGAAGACUAAGACUGCUCAAUAAAAUACUUGUGGGGAAUGGAGGGAUCCCUACUUGCCGGAAAAGGGGAUGAGAGCCUAAAGCAGACAGUCAGGAGACCAUGGCACAUUCUGGAGAUCUCUAGGCCUCUCAACCUAGCUACAAGCAUUAGCCUCAACAUCGUCGAAAAGGAUCGAGGGGCACGAGGAACACAACAAACAAAGGAGGACUAAGAUAUCAGGAAAUGUUGCCAAGUGGCAAUAUGCCCUGAUCUACAUCACUCCAGUUUUCAAAGCUGCACUUAGUGAACCAAGCUGCCUUUCCUAAGGCAGAACUCAAAGUAACUGCAAAUUUAUUUAUU